AAUCUGUUAAUGAAACCCCUUGUGAUGGGUUACAGCAGCAGCUGUUGCAACACCCCUCCCCCUUGUCCUACACAGGGAGGUUUCUGGUUUGAGGUUGCCCUGUGGUGGCCUCAAACUUUCUGGGAGAAUUCUAGAUUAGCUCUCAGCUUGUUGUGUGUGGUUUUGGAUGUAUAUUAUAAGCGGCUGUUGGCAUCUAUGAUGAACAGGCUACACAACAAAUUCAAGACCAGAAGACAAAAAGGCAGUGGAUGUAGUCAUUCUCUGGAAAAAUUAAGACACCGAUGUCUUUGAGGUGCAUGACGAACCACAGUGGGUCUUGGGAGUAUUUGCAGAAAGCGCAGUGACCUCUGAC
rnacentral:lncRNA from 1 species